rnacentral:rRNA from 1 species
GUCUUUGUAGUAAUACAAGGCAGACGGCUCAGUAACACGUAGUCAACCUACCCUAUGGACGAGAAUAAUCUCGGGAAACUGAGCAUAAUUCUUGAUAGAUCAUAAUGCCUGGAAUGGUUUAUGGUUAAAAUGAUUCGUCGCCAUAGGAUGGGACUGCGGCCUAUCAGCUUGUUGGUGAGGUAAUGGCCCACCAAGGCGAUUACAGGUACGGGCUCUGAGAGGAGAAGCCCGGAGAUGGGUACUGAGACACGGACCCAGGCCCUAUGGGGCGCAGCAGGCGAGAAAACUUUGCAAUGUGCGAAAGCACGACAAGGUUAAUCCGAGUGAUUUCUGCUAAAGAAAUCUUUUGCCAGUCGUAAAACCGCUGGUGAAUAAGGGGUGGGCAAGUUCUGGUGUCAGCCGCCGCGGUAAAACCAGCACCUCAAGUGGUCAGGAUGAUUAUUGGGCCUA